rnacentral:rRNA from 1 species
UACGUAGGGGGCAAGCGUUGUCCGGAGUUACUGGGCGUAAAGCGCACGCAGGCGGUCUCUUAAGUUUGGAGUGACAGUUGGUGGCUUAACUGCCAAAGUGCUUCGAAAACUGAGAGACUUGAGGGCUUCAGAGGGACACGGAAUUCCGGGUGGAGUGGUGAAAUGCGCAGAUAUCAGGAGGAACACCGGUGGCGAAGGCGGUUCUCUGGGCAUGUCCUGACGCUGAGGAGCGAAAGUGUGGGGAGCGAACAGG